GCAGCGGUAGCCCAAUGGCAGGAGGCAAGGCGCUUAAAACGCCUACAGUGUGGGUUCGAGUCCCACCCGCUGUA
rnacentral:tRNA from 1 species